rnacentral:tRNA from 1 species
CCCUGGGUGGUGCAAACGGUUAAAGCACUCGGCUGCUAACUGAAAGGUUGGUGGUUUGAGUCCACCCUAGGGU